rnacentral:rRNA from 1 species
GACGAACGCUGGCGGCGUGCCUAAUACAUGCAAGUCGAGCGGACUUUCAAGAAGCUUGCUUUUUGAAAGUUAGCGGCGGACGGGUGAGUAACACGUGGGCAACCUGCCUGCAAGACGGGGAUAACUCCGGGAAACCGGGGCUAAUACCGGAUAAUAUCUUCCUUCGCAUGAAGGAAGGUUGAAAGGCGGCGCAAGCUGCCGCUUGCAGAUGGGCCCGCGGCGCAUUAGCUAGUUGGUGAGGUAACGGCUCACCAAGGCGACGAUGCGUAGCCGCCCUGAGAGGGUGAUCGGCCACACUGGGACUGAGACACGGCCCAGACUCCUACGGGAGGCAGCAGUAGGGAAUCUUCCGCAAUGGACGAAAGUCUGACGGAGCAACGCCGCGUGAGCGAAGAAGGUCUUCGGAUCGUAAAGCUCUGUUGUCAGGGAAGAACAAGUACCGUUCGAACAGGGCGGUACCUUGACGGUACCUGACCAGAAAGCCACGGCUAACUACGUG